ACUCCUACGGGAGGCAGCAGUAGGGAAUCUUCCACAAUGGGCGCAAGCCUGAUGGAGCAACACCGCGUGAGUGAAGAAGGGUUUCGGCUCGUAAAGCUCUGUUGUUAAAGAAGAACACGUAUGAGAGUAACUGUUCAUACGUUGACGGUAUUUAACCAGAAAGUCACGGCUAACUACGUGCCAGCAGCCGCGGUAAUACGUAGGUGGCAAGCGUUAUCCGGAUUUAUUGGGCGUAAAGAGAGUGCAGGCGGUUUUCUAAGUCUGAUGUGAAAGCCUUCGGCUUAACCGGAGAAGUGCAUCGGAAACUGGAUAACUUGAGUGCAGAAGAGGUAGUGGAACUCCAUGUGUAGCGGUGGAAUGCGUAGAUAUAUGGAAGAACACCAGUGGCGAAGGCGGCUACCUGGUCUGCAACUGACGCUGAGACUCGAAAGCAUGGGUAGCGAACAGGAUUAGAUACCCCGUGUA
rnacentral:rRNA from 1 species